GCAUGACAGAAGGUGGCAGUGCCUUUUUCAGGGCUUCAAGCGCUUCCUGCAUGGCUAGGGGUCUUCUAUAUUCCUGUCGUGGAUCCAGUGGAUAGGAAAUGUGAGGUGUGAGAUCAAGUGGACUGCUUAUUAAAAUGAAUUGUACAGUAGUAGUUUGCUAGCAUUAUGGUCCUUUCAGGUUUGCCUAAGUGGGCUGCCUACAUGUAGCACUAAGGCUAUAGAAAAUAUAUCUACAUAUUACGGUACUGGAAAAAAAAACAUUUUUGCAGUAUUUGUAAAGAUCUGUAAAUAAAGUAUAUACAAAUGAGUGUUAAAAAAUUGAAAUGCAUAUUUUAGAAGAUUUUUUUUAUACGAGAAAAUGUACAUUAUACAGCAUCAGUCAGUCAUGACUCAUGAGUUAUAACUAGGGUCAACAAUUCAAUUGUGUUAUUGACUGAUAGUUGGUUGUAAAGAAAUAAUACAUCUCGGUGAAACUGCUACAUCAAAGGACUGACACCGUAAAUGUGAUAUCAGGAACUGAUGUUGCUUAAUAAAUUACUUCAUCAGGCUGCCAUGUUUCUGAAGAGUCAAAUGUUCAAAGUUUUCUGAAGAAUUCUUUAUUUCCAAACUGCUAAAAAUUGUGUAGUGACAGCUCAUGUCGAAUAACAUUUAAGAAACUUUCUGAAUGUCAGUAUAGUUUUCUUUACCUUAACACAUAUUAUCAUGAGAUUAAUUGUUUUGACAAUUAAUUUUUACAUAUGAAAAUUCUUUAGAGUACCUAUAUUUAAAGCAACAUAUAGACUUGAAGCCAGUUUUUGUUUGUUCAGGUGUCGAAAGAUACACUGUAAACAAUUUUCAGAACUUUAAAGGACAUUUUAAGGAAAUAUUGUUACAACAUUUUUAGGUAUAUCACAGUCCUUUUUGAACAUAAAAAGGUGAUGAAAUUAAAAGUAACCAAAACUGUGAACCUUAACGGACAUUAUUAUCAGCGAUGGCCAGGUUCUACUAUUUUUCAACAGGCGCCCUGAAGCAUUGGAAAGACAGCUUUGGUAAUGAACUAUUACCCACUACUCUACCAGAAUGUUUAAGGCAGACGGAGCUCCUCGCUCGGCUCCCGGCGGCGCAGCACGCCUACUUGGAGCCCCCCUGCAGGCUGCACAGCUUGUGGUACCUCCCGCGCAGAGCCAGCAGCUGGCCGUGCGAGCCCGACUCCACCACCCGCCCCUUGUCCACGACGCAGAUCACGUCCGCGUCCUGGACCGUCGACAGCCGGUGGGCUAUCGUGAUGCACGUGCGCCCUUGCUUCGCCUGGUCCAGGGCCUCCUGGACUAUCUGCAGGAUCACAUCAUUAUCCCACACAUUAGAUCUUCUGUCGGCGGAGUAAUGAGAUAAUUUUUUCACAACGUGUAUUUGUUGUAUGUAUAUGUUUUAUAUUUGUGUAAACAUGUACGAUGCUGAAAUCCUUUAUGUAUGUGUGUUGUGUAAGUAUACAACAUAGUCCUAUAAGUAGCUCAGACGAGCCAACCACUUCAGAGAACGGGAAUAUUUACAGCUGCCCAACUGGGCUGGGCUGGGCUGGGCUGGCGAGUGAAGACGCCCGCCACUGGGGGCACAUGUGCCCCUGGUAAAUACAACUCAGGUGUGCCCAUUAUUAAACUUGGGCCGCAAGGCCCAAGAGCCCAAAACCUGUUUGGAUUAUUCUUUCUGCCCCGUCCAACUACCUAUUUUUACCUGGAUCUUUUUCCUUCUUUCUUGCUUGCAUUAAUGCAUGAUUAAUUGAUCCCAGCAUGACCCGGCCCAGGGUUUUCCAUGUGUUUAUGCAGGUUUUACCUGGGUGACAUUAGUUAGCUUUAGGCUAAGCAACCUAUGGGGCGUCAGCCAUGGCGCCAAUUGCUGCAAUGACUGGCCAAUAAACCUCAAAAAGCACAUGAUGCACGCGCCCUUGUUCUGCAUGGUUAAAACCCAGCAUGGUAGAAUGAACAGGCUUUAAGCCUGAGACACACUUAUGUCCUCCCCUAACCUGGAACCCUCCCGCACACUUGGAUUAACUUAGGCUAGCUCUCUCUCUACAUAUAUAAAUACAAUUUUAUAUUAUUCAGAGAAAUUCACCAGAGAAAUCUGGGGUCUGGGGAAAAUCAAACCUGAGAAGUAGAAUAUUGGGUGUAAACUUACCCUCUCGCUCUCCGUAUCCAAAGCAGAUGUUGCUUCAUCAAGCAGUAGCACUCUAGGGUUCCUGACAAGUGCCCUCGCGAUAGCUACUCUCUGCUUCUGGCCUCCAGAAAGCUGUGUCCCUUUCUCACCCAUGGACGUCUCGUAGCCCUGGAAGCAGCCAGCAUUAAAAGUACUUCCACAACCUAUAUAUACUAUGUACUUGGCACAAAAAAGUUCGAGAAUAAAUAAGAGAAAAGGGCAAAAAGAGAGACGAGCAGAAAGAAAUCGAAAUAAUGUAAAAAGUGGAGCAAAAUCAUUGAGAAAAAAAUUACUGUACAUUUUUACAAAAUGUGAAACUUUCAAUCGCAAAAAUAAAUUUCACCCAUUGCCAAGAAAUGAUUCACCAACACAGAGGCCUCACAAGUUUUGGACACGAACUAAGUGAUAUUUUAAUAAUAAUCAUCUUAAAACAGGAACUUUGCCAUAAAGGACGUGAGUGCUUUGAAGUGUGUGCUAGAAGUCAUAUGCGAGGAUGGUCGGAGUUGUAGCGUGGGAUGCUCACGGUAGGCAGGGACUUGAUGAAGCUGUGGAUGUUGGCCUUGCUGGCGGCGCUGAUGAUCUCGUCCAUGGGGACGCUCCUCGAGUUGUCCCCGUAGGCGAUGUUCUCGGCGAUGGUGCGGUUGAAGAGCACGGGCUCCUGCGACACCAGCCCCAGCUGGGACCGCAGGUUCUCCAGGGUCAGGGACGAGACGUCUCUGCCGUCCAUGGACUGCAACGGUUCACAAGUGCCUGGUUCAAGAGCUGCAGGUGCUGAGCGUUGCUCUCGGCUCAGUACGAGCGAGCAAAGCCUACUAAAAUAAUGCACAGCAGUAAGGACACUAAUAGCAAACCUCUUACUACUGGCUCGCUGUAGGAAAGGUUUUGAUGGAGAUUAAAAACUGACGAAAACUAGCUUCUACCGCGCAGAUUAGGUUUCCCCCCUCCCUUCUUUGCGACAUAGAGGGGAGUGACGGAAAUUCUCUAUCGCUAAGAAGUAGAAGCUAGUUUUCGUCAGUUUUUAAUCUCCUACAGCGAGCUAGAAGUCGCUAUUGUUUUUCUUCUUCUUUUUUUCUUUUCAAUCACACUAUUUGCAUGAAAAUGAAUUAUACUUGCAAGUUAACUGCACAAAUCAGUAGCUCUUUUCCAUACGAUUAAAUAAAUUGUAGAUACUUCCCAGGGGGACCCUCAGACUUAAUGUUUAUAAUAUCCUUUACACAGUUAUGAUUUUUAAAGCGCAAGCGGCGGUUCCCUACCGUGAGGGCUUGCCCACAGGUGCACUUAUAAUUCACUUCACAGGUUCCUAUGAAACUCUGGACUAGCAAGACUUCGCCGAGCAAACACGCACCACGGCUCCUGACAAAGGGUCGUAGAAGCGCUCCAGCAGCUGGAUGCAGGUGGACUUGCCACACCCGCUGGGGCCCACGAGGGCCACCGUCUGGCCUUGCUUCACUUCCAGGUUCAGGCCCCGCAACACGCGAGCGCUCUCGCGAGACGGGUAGCAGAAUUCCACCUUCGAGUACUGAACGUUGCCUUCCGUGGUCUGCGAACACAAGUCACACACAUUAGUGAUUACAUAUUUUUUUCCUGUUCGGACAGCUUACUGCAGACUUCCAAGUGAGAAAUUUUUCUAUGUACUGCAUUCUCUGCCGGAUAAAACAUGGUUCUAGGCUGGUAUUUAUAGUCACAUCUUGAGCAAUGUCUUGAGACCGUCUUGACGAAGAAGGACUUGUUUCUCAAGGCAGUGAUUUCAAUCUCCAUGUUUCAUAGUCCGCGAACAAGACGAGCUUCAUGAAGACUGCAUGCUCAAGCAAGAGCUUGUUUGCCGUACUUACGGCUUGACUAAGCACUUACUUGAGACAGCCGAAAAGACAUGAGCAUACACGAACUUUGCCGAUUGAACUGUUUUCGUUAAAUAUUCUGGUACUAUUCACACCAAGCCCUGAAACCCCAGAAUUUGAUGCUAUUUAUAGUAACAAGAUUUAGUAAGUAUAUAUCACUACAUUCGAAGUGCGUUUGUACGUUGAUGUGAAAAAUUUGUUUAUUGUUUUAAUACUCUUGAAUCACACAUGGAAAAAAUUGAUGUUUUGCGACCACAAAUAUGCACACCUUCUAGUACAUCUCAACUUGUGUCACUUGAGAUGAAUGAAAUUAAGAACUUUAUAAACUUUUGUCUUUCCUAUGUAAGUUUAACAUUAAGAAAUUAUGUAUCUAAUGAUUUAAUAAUACCCUUUUAAAAAAUAAUAAAAUUAAGUUUGCAUCUGCAGAACUGUUAAUACUGUAUUACUACUUGUUUAAAAGCUACUUGUCUUUACAGAAUUAUCAAAAAAUAUUUCAGGUAGUGAAAAACUUUUUUUUGUUGAGAAAAUGUCACUCUGCUUCAGCUUCAGGAUAACGUACAGUAAAUGUUAGUUUAAUAAAAAUAUAAUAUUUAACUACACAGUAAAAGAAAAUUUUUAAUUUAAGUAAGAAAAAUGUGUGUUUAGAAUUAUAACAGUAAGUUUGAACGAAUCUGAUAAGAGUACAUAGUAAGAAACUUAAAAUUUGUAAAACCCUUUAUAAAGUGUUUGUUCAUCAAUAAUAUAAGACAUUAAUUUCCUCAUAUAAUAGGUUAAUUUUUCUUGUUCAAGUUACUUGUGAUUCUAUAAUUUAAUUGUAUUAUAAGUAAAAUAUAUAGACUACAGUAUCUCUCAAAGCCUGCUGCGUAUGAAAUAUCCAAAUCAAUAAACUGAGCUAUGUAUUUAAAUAUAUUAUAACAAUUAGAUUUAAAAAAAAUAAUCUAAUAAAAUUUCUCUUAAAGCUAUAUUUGCAUUUUUCAUUAACUGUAACUAUAAAAAAAAGUUCUGUCAGUGCCAGGAUUUGAACCACAUUCAUAUUGUUUCCUCUAUUAAUGGACUUGAAAUCCAACUCCCUAACCAUUACACUACCAAACUUUUAAUGAAAUAUUGUGGAAAAUUAUUUUAAAUCAACAGUGUACUGCCACUUUUUCUUAAAUUAUUUUUAAUGUAUUCUGGGUGUCACGAAUGUAGAAUUAAAUUUUCUGAUUGUGAUAUGUACCAUCAACCAUCAUUAAACGCAUCGUUUUCCACAUCCAUUGUACUCGUUCUGUGAUUGAUAUGUAAAUAAACGUGUCUGUUUAGCACUUGAAAAUGUAAUCACUGGUCACAAACAAGCACUAAACUCAUUUAAAAUACAUAUAAAAUUGCUUCAGCACUUCAUACAGGAUUUAUUUAAGUUUAAAAAUACGAGGUUCACGAGAAUCCGCCAUUUUCUACAUUGCGAUCAGAACAAGCAAUUGCUUGAGACAUGCCUGCAGUGGUCUUGGCAAAGACGAUCUUAUUCGUGUUCUUAAGCACGGUCUCAGCGACUAUGAAACAUGCUUCUACGAUGGUGUUCUCAAGCAACGACUAUGAGACAGGAGAAUGCCCUCUCAGAAAUAAGAAAUAUGGGACUAUCAUAAGAUGGUCUUCAUCAAGAUUGUCUUGUUUGCGAUCACUUGAGAUCAUCUCAAGCAACCUCUAUGGCACACAAAGGUUAAAUAAGAAUGCAUAUAAGAAUUUCUUGACGAAGGAAUUGCUCAAGACGUGAAUAUAAAUACCACCCCUAGUAUGUACUUUCAUUCUGGUAGCAUCCCCAAAUUGUGCCUGCCUCAACUGGCCUUUCAACAAGUGAAUGCAUAAAAAGCAAGGGUAAAACCAAAAUGAAUUUCGGCAUGCACAGAGUGAGUGAGACACCCAGAAGAAAUAUAGGGGACAUGAAAUUAAGGAUAAAUACAAUUUCAUGGAGAAUUUUAUCGCAGCUUUUGGGCGGAAGUUUUUCAAGGCCUCUGUAGAUGCUGAGUGUGUGUGUGUUUGUGUUUGUGUGUGUGUGAGAGAGAGAGAGAGAGAGAGAGAGAGAGAGAGAGAGAGAGAGAGAGAGAGAGAGAGAGAGAGAGAGAGAGAGAGAGAGAGAUCUGCAAUUGAACACUGUGCAUUUAUGAUGGUCAGAUGUUCAGAGUUGCUAACUAACUUGCUGGUCAAUAGAUGCCAAUUAUGGUGACAAAUACAAGGUGUAUUGUGUAACAAAAUUUUUUUUUACACACGUAAAAAUUCACAACACAGCUAGAUAAUUAUGAAACUAAUGUCGUAAUGUGUUAAAUCAAAACAUAAGUUUUAAAAUAAUGUUUAAUGCUAAUAUUUUAACAGUUAAGAUAACAAUAUUGCAAAAUGAAAAGAAAAAAAGAACACAAACUAACCCACUUUCCUGUACUAUGUACGACUGGAUCCAUAAUCCUUGGUUUCCUGUCUAGAAGCUUGAAAAUUCUGCCCGCUGCAGCAAUGCCUUUUUCGAAAUUGGGUGAAAAUGCUAUUGCAUUUGCUAUUGAAGAUGUGCCCAUUAUCAAUGCAUUUGCAAUCCUAAAAAGAAAAAUAACACACAAAUGUCACACUCCACUUAAGCAUUUUUUUAUUAAUUUUUACGACACUUAAUUAUAAUAACUUGGGCAAUGUAGCAGGUACUCAUAAAUAACGAUAUACCUCACUCCUUUACUUCAGGGAAUGCCAGCCUAUGUUAAAACUAAUGGUGUAUUCAAAGAGGACUUUCUUUAGCUAUUAUAUGAUGAUGAUUUUGCCUGCAAUUCUGAUAAAUCAUCAAUAUUGUAAGCCGCAGCAUAUUUUCAAAUGUAAAAAAAAAAACUCAAUAAAUAAUUGGAUAUUAGAAUCAAAUAAAUUCAGUGAAUCACAAAGCUAUCAAUUGUAAGACCUAACAAAUUUUCUGAGUUUAAAAAACUUGCAAGAAAAGUAGUAUAAUAGAGUUGAGUAAAUACAACAUGCUUUACGUUCUUUUAUUGGGUUUUGCAAUGGAAAUGAUUGAUUAAUUUUUAUAUAUAUAUAUAUAUAUGUACUCCAUUGCUAGUUACAAUUGACACAUUUCAUGUACGCAACUACUGACAGACAUCAGUUCCCUGCAACACUGCCUGGCACUCACUUGAACACGUCUGAGAACACCAUCUCGCCGUUCCUGACCAGCUGCCCCCCGUAGUACAUGGUGGCCGCAAACGCGAAGAACGUGAUGCUGCGGGCGAUCGCGAACACGAUGCCGCGGUAGUGAGUCUCGCGCAGCGUCCGCUUCAUCCCGGGGACCAGCUCCCGCGUGUAGUCCUCGUGGAAGCCCCUCUCUCUCCCGAGGCCAGCGACGGUGCGGAUGUUGCCGACCGCUUCCACCGCCAGCUGGAUUGAACACAUGAGCGCGUUCCACUGCCGGUGCGAGGGUGAAUGCCCUUGGAUAUUUUUUUUUCUUCCAAACCUAACUAAUUACCAAGUGUAUUUGGGAGGGGUCUGGGUUAGGGAGAGACUCUAAGUGCGUCUCAGGCCGAAGCCUAUACGCUCUCAGCAUGCAGGUUAUGAACCAUGCAGGAGAGGAAGCAUGCAUCAUGUGCUAGGAGGGGAUUGGCCAGCCAUGGCAACGUUUUAGCCAUGACUAACUCCCCUCACUGACUAUUCUAAGUUAAAACUAGAUCAGUUGGGCCCAGGUAAAACCUGCAUAGACAAAGGGGAAAACCCUGGGCAUUGACAUGCGGGAUGCAAAAUUUCAUGCAUUAAUUACAAGCAGGUUGGUUACAGGAAACAGAAGUUGGACAGAGUAGAAAGACUACUAUGCAAAUGGGCGGGAGCUUGGACAUUUUGUCCGCAUUUUGUAUGGUGGCACUGGCUGUUUCGGGGGCGACUUUGUCGUUUCCCACCAGGCUGCCAGCCAGCCUAGACUAAGUUAAGAAGGGGAAAAAUUUGUGUACGCUGUUGAAUUUAAGCUAAUGUAAAGAAACAUUAAAUUAACAUAGAAAUAAACAUUUAAAAUAUA